CUACAAAGGAAUUGAGGGACCCGCACAAGCAGCGGAGCGUGUGGUUAAUUCGAGGCUACACGAAGAACCUUACCAGGGUUUGACAUGCAAGUGGUAGGAAUCCGAAAGGUGACCGACCCUUCGGGAGCUUGCACAGGUGCUGCAUGGCUGUCGUCAGCUCGUGUCGUGAGGUGUUCGGUUAAGUCCGCUAACGAGCGCAACCCUCGUCGUGUGUUAUACGUGUCACACGAUACUGCCGGUAUCAAGCCGGAGGAAGGUGGGGAUGAUGUCAAGUCAGCAUGGCCUUUAUAUCCUGGGCUACACACACGCUACAAUGGCAGAUACAAUAGGUUGCGAAACCGCGAGGUGGAGCCAAUCCUCAAAGUCUGUCUCAGUUCAGAUUGUAGGCUGCAACUCGCCUGCAUGAAGUUGGAGUUGCUAGUAAACGCAGGUCAGCUAUACUGCGUUGAAUACGUUCCCGGGGUUU
rnacentral:rRNA from 1 species